rnacentral:rRNA from 1 species
UUGACCUCGGAUCAGGUAGGAAUACCCGCUGAACUUAAGCAUAUCAAUAAGCGGAGGAAAAGAAACCAACAGGGAUUGCCCCAGUAACGGCGAGUGAAGCGGCAACAGCUCAAAUUUGAAAUCUGGCCUCACGGCCCGAGUUGUAAUUUGCAGAGGAUGCUUUUGGUGAGGCACCUACCGAGUCCCCUGGAAUGGGGCGCCACAGAGGGUGAGAGCCCCGUAUGGUAGGACGCCGAGCCUCUGUAAAGCUCCUUCGACGAGUCGAGUAGUUUGGGAAUGCUGCUCUAAAUGGGAGGUAAAUUUCUUCUAAAGCUAAAUACCGGCCAGAGACCGAUAGCGCACAAGUAGAGUGAUCGAAAGAUGAAAAGCACUUUGAAAAGAGGGUUAAAAAGUACGUGAAAUUGUUGAAAGGGAAGCGCUUGCGACCAGACUUGCGCCGGGCGGAUCAUCCAGCGUUCUCCGCUGGUGCACUCCGCCCGGCUCAGGCCAGCAUCGGUUCUCGCCGGGGGACAAAAGCUUCGGGAACGUAGCUCCCUUCGGGGAGUGUUAUAGCCCGCUCGCAUAAUACCCCGGCGGGGACCGAGGACCGCGCUUCGGCAAGGAUGCUGGCGUAAUGGUCAUCAGCGACCCGUCUUGAAACACGGACCGAGGAGUCAAGCAUUGGUGCGAGUGUUUGGGUGUAAAACCCGCACGCGUAAUGAAAGUGAACGUAGGUGAGAGCUUCGGCGCAUCAUCGACCGAUCCUGAUGUUUUCGGAUGGAUUUGAGUAGGAGCAUCAACGCUUGGACCCGAAAGAUGGUGAACUAUACUCGAAUAGGGUGAAGCCAGAGGAAACUCUGGUGGAGGCUCGCAGCGGUUCUGACGUGCAAAUCGAUCGUCAAAUUUGAGUAUAGGGGCGAAAGACUAAUCGAACCAUCUAGUAGCUGGUUUCAGCCGAAGUUUCCCUCAGGA